CAGUCUUAGCUUCAGAAGGCAUGUGACUUACACGUGAGAGGGGUUAAGAACUGAUAAAACGGAUAAAUCUCUGCUCCAGGAAGUGGGUUAUUAUAUGUACCAUGACCUUCAACCUCUAUUCUGUACAGUUUUCUUUAUUCUUGGCACUUUUCACACUUCAUUCUGCUGGUAGGAACCAAUGCGCUCCCCUGUCCUAAAUGAAUCUCUCUCUACCCAUCCAUGAAUACUCUGAAUAGAAUUCAUUCACACAUUCACUGGACACACACUCUGUCCUGUGCUUCCUGUCAGGUCCCCAGACCCAGUCACAAACAAGAUAAACGCGGUCUUCACUCUCAGGGACUUCUAGUCUGCGGAGGUGGGUCAGAGGAGGGGGCAAAAUAUAAAUGCAGGUAAGUGCUACAAAGAAAGUGUAAAUACAAGAUAAAGGGUGAAAUGGCGAAAUUGUUAUAUUUUUGCGGUCAUUUAAAACAAGACCCGAAGAUGGAAGAUUUAGUUGUGGAAAAAUCUUCCCUGGUGGGAGAGACACUUCACUUUGAGAUGCUAUAGUUGGAAGAGACUUGUCUGCUCCAAGGAUUAAAACAGGGUGCAUGGCCAGGCAUGGUGGUGCAUGCUUGUAAUCCCAGCACUUGGUAGGCUGAGGCAGGAGGAUCGCUGUGAGUUCGAGACCAGCCUGGACUACAUAGUGAGUUCCAGGUCAGUCUCUACAUAGUGAGACCCUGCCUCAAACAAAACAAAACAAAACAAUCCAGAGAUGUGUGGCUGGAGUGUUAAGGGGAGGAGGAGUUAGGAGCAGAGAAUAGGGGUGGGAGGAGCCAUGGGGAGGAUUUCAGGUUUUAUUCCAGAAGCAGCCAGAAGUCACAGGAGUGCUGAAUGCAUGAACCUGCCCGUCUCUUCCUAGAAACUGCAAAACCUCACUUCCAGAGGGAAGAAUGUUCGAGCAGGGAGGAACUUUUGUUUUCCUGAUCUCUGCUUCAGGCUUCCGCUCCAGAACAGCCUCCUCCAAAGGUCUCAGAUGCUGAGAAGGCUCCUGCAUCUCUAAGUCGUGAAGUGGAGGCUCAGGAGACAGUUGGGAACAAAAAGUUAAAGGAAACUUGUUAUGGUCUGAAGCACAAGGCUGUAGGAGUGGAGAUUGGACGACUCCCGAUUGCCCCUCCCGGGGUCCCUGGGGUACAAGGGAGCGACCCAGCGGUGGAGAAAGUCACAGUCAGACCCGCACAGCAAAGGAAGUCAGGCUUUAGCGGACCCGAGUCUGCGCCUUCUUCCAAGUGGACAAAAAUUCUUCAAGUUUGGAAAGCAGCCCGCCUGAUGGACUACCUGGCAAAGCGUUGCCUGAGCCACACGAGUAAAAACAAAAACGUAAAGAAGCUCUUUAAGGUCAGAGAAAGAGAGCCGCGGGUCAGCGCACAGGGUCUUCUGAGACGGUGGGUCUGGAAGUGAAGGGCCGAAGACACGCUGGUCCUGAGCGGGACUCUGCCCCGCAGAGAGGACCCGGAUAUGCCUCAGUGAUCAGUGGCCUCACUCCCUAGGGAAAGACAGGUCCCUCCCUAGCUCUAGGAGGAGGAAGACUCAGAAUUAGGAACUUUGGAUCCAGACAUUCCAUUCUUCUUUCCUGCUUCGUUUGUUUGUGGAUUGUAAUCCCAGCCAGCGAGCCAGGAGAACUGUCUUCCUAACAGGAGAGCUCUGCGAGGGUGGGAGGAGGGUUUGGGGAAGGCAGUCUUUUUAAAGAGGAGUUCCACGUCUGAAAACGCCUUCGCUCAUGCUGCUGGGAGUAUGGACAGUGGAAACCAUGACAGCUGUCUUGACAUCACGAGAUCAGGUGUUACCAGGCUGAGAAUGGCAGAGUAAGAAAAAGCCUUGAGGUCAUACGUGAGUUGCUGCUCUUUUGAGCAACCUCGAAACUUUUCUACCUUGUAAACUGUGUCACGGUACUGCCCAUAGGUAAGUUAAUUAGAUCUCUUGUAGGCAGUGAGACAGGUCUGCCCUCAAGGAGCCAACACAGACAGGAGCCAACGUGGAGGACAAUCAAGACACAUUCACUAGGGCCGGGGACUUAGCUCAGUGGUCCCGCGCCUGCCUUGCAAGCACCAGGACCCAAGUUUGAUCCCCAGUACAAAAAAAAAAAAAAAAAAAAAAAAAAAAAAAGACACAUUCACUGUGGCCAGAAUUGUAAAAGGAGAGAAACUGCUAUGCCCUAUGGGAUAUUCCCCUGAGGAUAAAUAGCAGUAAUCGAUACCCUAAAUAGGUAUCAUCACCUGGGUGGGGGGCCAAGGUCUUAACCCAGCCUUUCCAGGAAAUAUCCCUGACCCCCACACUUACUAAAAAUCCCUGUACGCUUGCUACACAACUUGCUCUCCCACCGACCCCCGCUUAGUCAAUAUUACCUGGCUGACUGUAUUUGUAAUCUUAUUGGUUGGUAAUGAUUUUGCCUCACCUCAUGCCCACCUUGUAAUUUUCCAUUGGGUCUUAUAGUUUAGUCCCACUUUGUACCCGCCUCAUUACAUGGCUUUGCUGUGUAAAACAUCCUGGAGAAGUAGGGUGAGCAGGCAGCCCACUUUCUGGUCCCCCUUCCAUCUCUCUUAGAAACUUUCUUUCCCUCAAUAAA
ensembl:lincRNA